UACGAAGGGGGCUAGCGUUGCUCGGAAUCACUGGGCGUAAAGCGCACGUAGGCGGACUCUUAAGUCGGUGGUGAAAUCCUGGAGCUCAACUCCAGAACUGCCUUUGAUACUGGAGAGCUUGAGUCCGGGAGAGGUGAGUGGAACUCCGAGUGUAGAGGUGAAAUUCGUAGAUAUUCGGAAGAACACCAGUGGCGAAGGCGGCUCACUGGCCCGGUACUGACGCUGAUGUGCGAAAGCGUGGGGAGCAAACAGG
rnacentral:rRNA from 1 species